GACGAACGCUGGCGGCGUGCUUAACACAUGCCAGUCGAACGGAAAGGCCCUGCUUUUGUGGGGUGCUCGAGUGGCGAACGGGUGAGUAACACGUGAGUAACCUGCCCUUGACUUUGGGAUAACUUCAGGAAACUGGGGCUAAUACCGGAUAGGAGCUCCUGCUGCAUGGUGGGGGUUGGAAAGUUUCGGCGGUUGGGGAUGGACUCGCGGCUUAUCAGCUUGUGGGUGGGGUAGUGGCUUACCAAGGCUUUGACGGGUAGCCGGCCUGAGAGGGUGACCGGCCACAUUGGGACUGAGAUACGGCCCAGACUCCUACGGGAGGCAGCAGUGGGGAAUAUUGCACAAUGGGCGGAAGCCUGAUGCAGCAACGCCGCGUGCGGGAUGAAGGCCUUCGGGUUGUAAACCGCUUUCGCCUGUGACGAAGCGUGAGUGACGGUAAUGGGUAAAGAAGCACCGGCUAACUACGUG
rnacentral:rRNA from 1 species